UACAGAGGUCCCAAGCGUUGUUCGGAUUCACUGGGCGUAAAGGGUGCGUAGGUGGCGAGGUAAGUCGGAUGUGAAAGCUCGGAGCUCAACUCCGAAAUAGCAUUGGAAACUACCUUGCUCGAGGGUUGGAGGGGGGACUGGAAUGCUUGGUGUAGCAGUGAAAUGCGUAGAUAUCAAGCGGAACACCAGUGGCGAAGGCGAGUCCCUGGACAGUUCCUGACACUGAGGCACGAAGGCCAGGGGAGCAAACGGG
rnacentral:rRNA from 1 species